rnacentral:rRNA from 1 species
CUACGGGCUGCUCCAGUGGGGAAUAUUGGACAAUGGGGGAAACCCUGAUCCAGCAAUGCCGCGUGUGUGAAGAAGGCCUGCGGGUUGUAAAGCACUUUCGGUUGGGAGGACUGCUUCUAGCACUAAUAUUGUUGGAAGUUGACGUUACCUUCAGAAGAAGCACCGGCUAACUCCGUGCCAGCAGCCGCGGUAAUGCGGAGGGUGCAAGCGUUAAUCGGAAUUACUGGGCGUAAAGCGCGCGUAGGCGGCUAGAUCAGUCGGGUGUGAAAGCCCCGGGCUUAACCUGGGAACUGCAUCCGAUACUUUCUAGCUAGAGUACAGGAGAGGAGAGUGGAAUUCCACAUGUAGCGGUGAAAUGCGUAGAUAUGUGGAGGAACACCAAUGGCGAAGGCAGCUCUCUGGCCUGAUACUGACGCUGAGGUGCGAAAGCGUGGGGAGCAAACAGGAUUAGAUACCCGGGUAGUC